rnacentral:tRNA from 1 species
UGGGCUGUCGCCAAGCGGUAAGGCACAGGACUUUGACUCCUGCAUCUCGUGGGUCCGAAUCCCGCCAGCCCAGCCA